UACAGGGGGUGCAAACGUUGCUCGGAAUUACUGGGCGUAAAGCGCACGUAGGCGGCUAUUCAAGUCAGAGGUGAAAGCCCGGGGCUCAACCCCGGAACUGCCUUUGAAACUAGAUAGCUAGAAUCUUGGAGAGGUCAGUGGAAUUCCGAGUGUAGAGGUGAAAUUCGUAGAUAUUCGGAAGAACACCAGUGGCGAAGGCGACUGACUGGACAAGUAUUGACGCUGAGGCACGAAAGCGUGGGGAGCAAACAGG
rnacentral:rRNA from 1 species